GACGAACGCUGGCGGCGUGCUUAACACAUGCAAGUCGAACGGAAAGGCCCUGCUUUUGUGGGGUGCUCGAGUGGCGAACGGGUGAGUAACACGUGAGUAACCUGCCCUUGACUUUGGGAUAACUUCAGGAAACUGGGGCUAAUACCGGAUAGGAGCUCCUGCUGCAUGGUGGGGGUUGGAAAGUUUCGGCGGUUGGGGAUGGACUCGCGGCUUAUCAGCUUGUUGGUGGGGUAGUGGCUUACCAAGGCUUUGACGGGUAGCCGGCCUGAGAGGGUGACCGGCCACAUGAGGACUGAGAUACGGCCCAGACUCCUACGGGAGGCAGCAGUGGGGAAUAUUGCACAAUGGGCGGAAGCCUGAUGCAGCAACGCCGCGUGCGGGAUGACGGGCUUCGGGUUGUAAACCGCUUUCGCCUGUGACGAGGCGUGAGUGACGGUAAUGGGUAAAGAAGCACCGGCUAACUACGUG
rnacentral:rRNA from 1 species